rnacentral:rRNA from 1 species
UGGGGAAUUUUGGACAAUGGGGGAAACCCUGAUCCAGCCAUCCCGCUUGUGCGAUGAAGGCCUUCGGGUUGUAAAGCACUUUUGGCAGGAAAGAAACGUCAUGGGUUAAUACCCCGUGAAACUGACGGUACCUGCAGAAUAAGCACCGGCUAACUACGUGCCAGCAGCCGCGGUACUACGUAGGGUGCACGCGUUAAUCGGAAUUACUGGGCGUAAAGCGUGCGCAGGCGGUUCGGAAAGAAAGAUGUGAAAUCCCAGCGCUGAACUUUAGAACUGCAUUUUUAACUACAGGGCUAGAGUGUGGCAGAGGGAGGUGGAAUUCCGGGUGUAGAAGUGAAAUGCGUAGAUAUGCGGAUGAACACCGAUGGCGAAGGCAGCCUCCUGGGAUAACACUGACGCUAAUGCACAAAAGCGUGGGGAGCGAACAGG